CAAUAGCGUAUAUUAAAGUUGUUGCAGUUAAAAAGCUCGUAGUUGAAUUUCGGGUCCCCGCGCUCGGCGCUUCAUUGUGCCGUCGUGGUGUCCCUCCUCGCCGUAAGGCGUCCUUUACUGUGAAAAAAUUAGAGUGUUCAAAGCAGGCAAUCGCUUGAAUACAUUAGCAUGGAAUAAUAAGAUAGGAUCUUGUCUAUUUUGUUGGUUGCGGACAACGAUAAUGAUUAAUAGGGAUAGUUGGGGGUGUCCGUAUUGAGCUGUCAGAGGUGAAAUUCUUGGAUUUGCUCAAGACGAACUACUGCGAAAGCAUUCACCAAGGAUGUUUUCAUUA
rnacentral:rRNA from 1 species